rnacentral:rRNA from 1 species
GGUCUAUUUGACGAAGGCUCCAAAGGAAGCCACGGCUAACUCUGUGCCAGCAGCCGCGGUAAUACAGAGGUGGCAAGCGUUGUUCGGAAUUAUUGGGCGUAAAGAGCACGUAGGUGGAUUUGUAAGUCAGAUGUGAAAGCCUUCUGUUCAACGGGAGAAUUGCAUCUGAAACUACGGACCUUGAGUAUAGGAGGGGAGAGUG